GACGUAGGAGGCGAGCGUUGUCCGGAUUCAUUGGGCGUAAAGAGCACGCAGGCGGUUUGGCAAGUCGGACGUGAAAAUCCGGGGCUCAACCCCGGACCUGCAUCCGAAACUGCCCGACUAGAGGUAGGUAGGGGAGAUCGGAAUUCCUGGUGUAGCGGUGAAAUGCGCAGAUAUCAGGAGGAACACCGGUGGCGAAGGCGGUUCUCUGGAACGCAACUGACGCUGAGACGCGAAAGCGUGGGGAGCAAACAGG
rnacentral:rRNA from 1 species